rnacentral:lncRNA from 1 species
GAGAGAGACGGCAUGGGAGAAAAUUGCUGCGCGAGUCAAUGCGUAAGUUUGAAUGUACUACUCCAUUGACGUAACAUAUAAGAUCGAAGCAUAGUCUAUAGUUAUGAAUAUAAGUAGGAAUGAAAUCUGAUUUUCAUUUAGGUGCAAUCCAACGGGAGAAAAAAGGACUUGGAAGCAGCUCAAAAUGAAGCAUAAAAACAUAAUUCAAAAAGGUAAGGCAUAUUUUGCUAGGCUGUGAUUGCAACUCACUUUGAUUUUAAUUUAAUUUUUUAAAAUGGACUUAGGCUAUUAGACAGAGUCAAUAUUAAUUUAAACUAAAAUAUUAAUUCAGCGGCUACUUCAAAUAAUAAUUUAAACCCCAAACAAAAUGUCGUUUUUCAACGUCCUCUCACUUAAUUCUACACUUCGUGGAUUAACACUUGAUACAAACACAUUUAUAUUUUAGACCUAUUGAAGUCAUUUAAAAUGUGACGCUGUAGCCUACACCAACACUGAUUAAAAUACUAUUUUAAAAUAAACAUUGACUUCUGCUCAGCCAACAGAAAGAAGGCAGAGGCCCGAAAAACGGGUGGAGGGCCACCUCCACCACCUCUGACGGAGGCAGAGGAGCUGGCCCUCAGCCAAAACAGGGGUCGUCCUGUGGCUGAAGGCAUCCCCGGGGGAAGCUCAUCCGAACCUGUCACCCCCCAGGACACAAGUCCCUACAUCAGAUGCAAGUAUACACUUAUGUCUUUAAAAAAAAAUAAAACUAAUAUAUAAAUAUAUAUAGCCUACUUUUUAACAAAUAUAUAUCCACCCACCCAACAGUUGUGGAUGGUGUCAUCUGCCUGCUUCAGCCUCCGACAGAAACAAACCCUGUAGCUGUAAGUCUUCCAUACUCUGAUGCCUCAGAUGGUAGUUCAAAGUAUUCUGAAACAGUAUUUUUUCCUGCAUUACAGGAGGAGGAGGAUGAGGAUGAAGAAACACUGUCUGCUGCCACAGGGAGAGAUCCAGAGGGGCUUCCUGAAGUGUGUCUUAAUAUAUAGCUACUGGCAGUGCCCAUUCAUUUACAUUCUAAAGUGGAAUUUGGAGUUUGACAUGUACACUGAAUAGAUGAGCAUAAAUAAUGGACAAACUAACUCAUUCUUGUCCUUCAGCAGAACAUGGCUGGGCAUCACCAGGAGGAGGGUCCAUCAACCUCAGCGGCACAGCUUGUCAAAGUGAGAUUUUCGGUCAAUACCAUGUUAAUUCUGUAUGUAGAACUAAAGGAAUUAAAUGUCGCCCAUGUUUCCCAGCUCCCACCCGGUUAAGGAGUUAUACAGGGUGCACCUCAUGACAAGUAUAAAAAAAAACGAAAAAGAAAUGGUCUAUCUGGAUCGGCAGAUUGCUAAAACAGACCUGGAAAUUCUAUUACUGGAACGCCAGUUGAGGUGGGUGCAUUGUCAUGGUGAAUAUGUGAAAUAUGUUAAUGGUUGGAACUACAUUACAAAUCCUGACUGUUGCUUUUGUACUCUUAGGGAAUAAAGAAGAACCAAAUCACAUAUGCAUUUGUUUUAAUUUUUUUAAAUCAUGUGAUGUGAGUGCUCGUCCGCGGUGUGUGAGAUUGGUGAUAUGCGGCCGGAGAAGGUUAUUUAGAUAAAUUAUACUGUUCAAAGAAAAGCGGUAGCGUUCGAAAAGAAAUUCUUCUGGAAAUGAUAAAACGUCUGAUCUGGGUCAGAAGAUUCUCUCGUGACGUAAACCGUUGCACAUUAUUCUGGCUUCGAUGUUGAUCGGAUUUUCAAGGAAUGGACAAUCCAUGUUCAACCGCUUUCUUUGUGUGGGAGGAGACAUGUAGAAACUCUGGGUCUCUUAUAGUAAACCUGCCAGCGAGCAGGUUAUGUUCACAGAGUAAGUUACCGCAGUAACUGACCCAGUGUUUAAGUUACCUCUCUUUCUGGAACGGAUAACUCAGAGUUUCCCUCAUCUCAGGGUUAACUUACUCAGAGUUUUUCACAUAACCCGCUUUCUAGAAUACCCCCCUGGUGCCUUGAUAAAUUGUUUUGUGUAUUGUUUAUUUAUUUCCAACAAGUUAACCCAUAGAAGAAAAGAAUAUUGACAAUAACAGGUCAGAUUUAUCUAUUAUAACAAUCUGACUAUUCCACCGGUUAAGACUUUUCCAGAUAAAAAGUCACAGUACGCUUCUGUUUCUUCCUCAGAGUCACAAGACCUCAAGACACCUGUCCUCUGAGCCUCAGUACCAUCAUACUUCUCCUGCUGAUGCUCUCAUGAUCUCCUGUCUUCUCACCUCUCAUAUUGUACCUCCUUGCACGCUGCUCAUGCUUACUUUACCCUCCUCCCUGGGGACUUUUCCUCCAUCUCUGUCUUUCUGCAUCCUAUCCUUUGGUACCAUCUUCUCCCUGCAUCUUCCCUGCCUUUUCCCUCUGGGUAACUUGUGUGUCAGGGCUGACAGAGAUAUUCUCUUUUCUGUCCUAUCUGGUCCCGUGGGAGAAUCAGAGUGUGAUCCUGACCCAGGAUGAUGGACAGUGAAGCUGGGAUAUCCAACACCUGAGGAGGAAGGGAAGCUGUCCUGGUACAUCCUAAGGAAAAAAAGC